rnacentral:rRNA from 1 species
UUGGAGGGCAAGUCUGGUGCCAGCAGCCGCGGUAAUUCCAGCUCCAAUAGCGUAUAUUAAAGUUGUUGCAGUUAAAAAGCUCGUAGUUGAAUUUCGGGGUUAGUAGGUUGGUCAUGCCUCUGGUAUGUACUGGUCUCACUGAUUCCUCCUUCCUUAUGAACCGUAAUGCCAUUAAUUUGGUGUUGCGGGGAAUUUGGACUGUUACUUGGAAAAAAUUAGAGUGUUUAAAGCAGGCUAACGCUUGAAUACAUUAGCAUGGAAUAAUGAAAUAGGACGUUCGAUCUUAUUUUGUUGGUUUCUAGGAUUGACGUAAUGAUUAAUAGGGAUAGUUGGGGGCAUUAGUAUUCAAUUGUCAGAGGUGAAAUUCUUGGAUUUAUUGCAGACUAACUACUGCGAAAGCAUUUGCCAAGGAUGUUUUCAUUAAUCAAGAACGAAAGUUAGGGGAUCGAAGACGAUCAGAUACCGUCGUAGUCUUACCAUAACUAUGCCGACUAGGGAUCGGAUGAUGUUAAUUUUUUAAUGACUCAUUCGGCGCCUUACGGGAAACA